rnacentral:rRNA from 1 species
UGGGGAAUAUUGGACAAUGGGCGCAAGCCUGAUCCAGCCAUGCCGCGUGAGUGAUGAAGGCCCUAGGGUUGUAAAGCUCUUUCGACGGGGACGAUAAUGACGGUACCCGUAGAAGAAGCCCCGGCUAACUUCGUGCCAGCAGCCGCGGUAAUACGAAGGGGGCUAGCGUUGUUCGGAAUCACUGGGCGUAAAGCGCACGUAGGCGGAUCGUUAAGUCGGGGGUGAAAUCCCAGGGCUCAACCCUGGAACUGCCUUCGAUACUGGCGAUCUUUGAGUCCGGGAGAGGUGAGUGGAACUCCGAGUGUAGAGGUGAAAUUCGUAGAUAUUCGGAAGAACACCAGUGGCGAAGGCGGCUCACUGGCCCCGGUACUGACGCUGAGGUGCGAAAGCGUGGGGGAGCGAAACAGGAUUAGAUACCCUGGUAGUCCACGCCGUAAACGAUGAAUGCUAGCCGUCGGUGAGCUUGCUCUUCGGUGGCGCAGCCAACGCAAUAAG